CCUCUACAAAAGGACAGGCAAUACUUCGCCCAAGUUUGGGGAGAUGGCGGGCGCCGAGAACCUAGGACACCAAGAAAGCUGUUGAGGGAACUGAUUUACUGGAGAAGCCACAGUGAAGAGCUGUGAAGCAGCAACCAUCACUGUUUCCCUUCUGUGGACCAAGAAGUGAGGGUGGAGUGUAUGGAGUCCCACAGCAAUUCAAGAUAAGCCUGGAUCUCAGCCCCGGGCCAUCUGACUCAGCAGGCUGACCUCACUGGGACUCCGGAGAGGGAUUGAUACCUUGCCUUCACUGUGACCCUGGAGGGUACUGCAAUAAAGAUCCUAAAACACUGUCCCUGGAUGCUGAUGUUUUAAACAAGGGGAAGAUCAUCUCCUAAGGCAGCAGUGGCCCAGCCCCUGGGCAUGUGAAUAUCUGUGGAAGAGGAGAAGGGACCAGGAGGAGAGAGCCCUGAAGACCGCACUGAAUGCUUGUACCCAGCCUUGCAUGCAGCUAGGAACCAGCUCCUAUACUUUUAAACUACAUGAGGUAAUGUACUUCCUUUACCUCUCAAGCCAACCUGGCUCUGUCUCUGCAAUCACAGAGCACGCCUGAUCCAAGCGCCUCCACCGCCCUCAACACCCCCUUCUGUUGACAGUCCUCGUGCUAAGUAGCAUGCUGGCUGAACCCUGGCAUCCCCACAUCAGCAGAGGUCGCCUGGACUAA